rnacentral:rRNA from 1 species
GAUGAACGCUAGCUACAAGCUUAACACAUGCAAGUCGAGGGGAAACGACAUCGAAAGCUUGCUUUUGAUGGGCGUCGACCGGCGCACGGGUGAGUAACGCGUAUCCAACCUGCCCAUCACUUGGGAAUAACCUUGCGAAAGUAAGACUAAUACCCAAUGAUAUCCCACGAAGACAUCUGAAUGGGAUUAAAGAUUUAUCGGUGAUGGAUGGGGAUGCGUCUGAUUAGCUUGUUGGCGGGGUAACGGCCCACCAAGGCAACGAUCAGUAGGGGUUCUGAGAGGAAGGUCCCCCACAUUGGAACUGAGACACGGUCCAAACUCCUACGGGAGGCAGCAGUGAGGAAUAUUGGUCAAUGGGCGAGAGCCUGAACCAGCCAAGUAGCGUGCAGGAUGACGGCCCUAUGGGUUGUAAACUGCUUUUAUAAGGGAAUAAAGUGGGUCUCGUGAGACUUUUUGCAUGUACCUUAUGAAUAAGGACCGGCUAAUUCCGUG